GACGGAGGGGGCGAGCGUUAUUCGGAAUCAUUGGGCGUAAAGAGCGUGUAGGCGGCCGGUUAAGUCAGGUGUGAAAGCCCGGGGCUCAACCUCGGAAGUGCACUUGAAACUGGUCGGCUUGAGUUCGGGGGAGGGAAGCGGAAUUCCUGGUGUAGAGGUGAAAUUCGUAGAUAUCAGGAGGAACAUCGGUGGCGAAGGCGGCUUCCUGGACCGAAACUGACGCUGAGACGCGAAAGCGUGGGGAGCAAACAGG
rnacentral:rRNA from 1 species